ensembl:lincRNA K07C10.8 ncRNA
GGCUGGAGCCACCGCUCCUGCACUCUCCUUUUAUCUAUAUUUAUUCUCUAUCUUAUAUUUAUACUUUUAUAUAUAAACUUAUAUUUAAUCACUCAUAAUGCUGGACCUGAAGCGGAGAAGGCAGUAAGAAUGAACAUGUGCAGCCAAGGAUAACGAAAAGGAACAGUUAAGUUGUAUAUGAUACAUUAUAAUAUUCUUUGUUCCAUUAUGAAUAAACCAUUGAUGAAUAAAUUUUGAUAUAAAAACAAAUUUUAUUAU